AACUGCAGCUGGAUCGUAUUUCAGUCACUCAUGUUGAUGGUGUGAUAAUGGGUGAAGAUUCACCAUCAGCAGAAACGAAUGGCCUAACAUCUUUUAAAUAGCAACCUAAAGCAAUUUGUCAACAAUCAACAUCAAGACAAAGCUUCUCUCUUUUCUACUAAAACAGUUAAAGUAGCACGCGCAUUAUUUAU